UCUACUUUCUCUCUCACAACAAUCUCAACUCCCUCCGGCCUUCUCAUGUUUCUGUGGCGGGAGAAUGAGUGCGGUUGUCAUAUGUGUUGCGACGCCGUCAGCUGAGAAACUGCUUACAAGACGAAUGUGGCGCGCAACAGAAACCUAGCCAAGCUUCAAGCUGGCUAUCUCUUUCCCGAGAUAGCAAGACGGAGAAAUGCACACAUCGCUAAAAAUCCAGACGCUAAAGUUAUCAGCCUUGGAAUUGGUGACACAACUGAGCCAAUUCCAGAAGUCAUUACUUCUGCCAUGUCAAAGAGAUCAGAAGUGCUGUCGACAGUCUCUGGUUU